rnacentral:tRNA from 1 species
GCCACCGUAGCUCAAUUGGUAGAGCAGCUGAUUCGUAAUCAGCAGGUUUCCGGUUCGAGUCCGGUCGGUGGCUCUA